AUGGAGGUUCCGGAAGAUCAUAGAGUCCCUUUGGUCGCAUACAAGCUGAAAGGAGGAGUUGGUGCAUGGUGGCAUCGCGUUCAAGAAGAGCGCAGGCUGAGAGGAGAACCUCGUGUGAGAACUUGGCGGCAAAUGAAAAGUCUCUUGAAAGGGAGAUUUUUGCCUGCUGAUUAUGACCAGAUCCUAUUUAUCCAAUUUCAAAAUUGUGCUCAAGGAAAUAGGACUGUUUUAGAUUAUACGGAGGAGUUUCUAAGGCUACAAGUGAUGUGCAACCUUGCUGAAACUGAAGAUCAACAAGUUGCAAGGUACAUCAAUGGUCUCAAUGACCGAACAUACAAAGGAUGA
rnacentral:rRNA from 1 species